rnacentral:rRNA from 1 species
UUCCUACGGGGGGCAGCAGUGAGGAAUAUUGGUCAAUGGGCGCGAGCCUGAAUCAGCCAAGUCGCGUGAAGGAUGACUGCCCUACGGGUUGUAAACUUCUUUUAUAAAGGAAUAAAGUGAGGCACGUGUGCCUUUUUGUAUGUACUUUAUGAGUAAGGAUCGGCUAACUCCGUGCCAGCAGCCGCGGUAAUACGGAGGAUCCUGGCGUUAUCCGGAUUUAUUGGGUUUAAAGGGAGCGUAGAUGGGUUGUUGAGUCAGUUGUGAAAGUUUGCGGCUCAACCGGAAAAUUGAGAUU